rnacentral:rRNA from 1 species
CCAAUAGCGUAUAUUAAAGUUGUUGCAGUUAAAAAGCUCGUAGUUGAAUUUCGGGAUCAAAUUGUCGGUCGUGCCUUGGUACGCACUGGCAUUAUUGGUCCCUACCUUCUGAAGAACCGCGAUGUCAUUAAUUUGGUGUCGUGGGGAAUCAGGACUGUUACUUUGAAAAAAUUAGAGUGUUUAAAGCAGGCGCACGCUUG